rnacentral:lncRNA from 1 species
AUAUCGUAAGUAAGGAUGGUUAGGAUGGCCAAUCCAGGAUUCCUAAUUAUUGUUACCAGACUGCAGUGCUAAGGUCGGCGCCAUUAAAGGCCUUGGGUUAUCUCUCUGACGUAACGAUAGUUAUGGUAUACCAACACCCGAUAUUUCUGGUGCCAUUGCUAAUGAUGGAUUUAUAGUCUAUCUUUAGUAGUGAUGCUAAGAAAUGCCAACACUCUAUAAAAAUGAAAAUAUAAAAAUAAGAUUGUGAUCCUACCAAAGCGAGUAACAUUUAUUGAGGAGGCUCAACAUGAUAAAGGCUAGAUAUUUAUGCUAGCACUUAAUUAGUUCCACAAAGCUUUGUUGUCUAUUUGAGCUCCACAGAAUUCAAGGAUCAAGAAGACUAGCAGACGGAGGACAUCCUAAUCGCUGUCAGGGCGCUGCCGACAUUCAAAUACACCUUCGCCACCUGCUAGCUACAUCAAAAGAAAUUACGUCAAAAUCCAGCUUGGGGGAGAGCACCCCUAUUUAUCCAGCUAAGUGUUUCUACUCACGUUUAUAUGUUACUCACAUAAUAAAAUGAUACAUAAUCAUAAAAACCCAGAUAAAGAUUUUGUGCUUAUAUAUAUUUACUUUUUCUUAGUUUUCUAAAUAAAUAAAUCAAGUGGCUAUGCUAAACUGAAUCUUAAUAAUAAACUCUAGCAUGGAUAUUAUGAAUAGUUGCUCAGACUAAUUUUCAAAUUUGAAGCUCUCUCUCUCGAGUUUAGACAUAACUGUUAUAAUUUAAAGCUUGCUCUAAACCUGAACUUGUGGGAAGAGAACUUUAUCUAAAGUCUAAGUCGUUAACGGAUAUGAUAUGGGAAGCUUGAGCUGUUCUUUAACUAUUUCUAGAGAUGCUAGAAUUCUGGAGAAUUUUUUCUUUGAAAAUCUUAAAAAAAUGUUGCAUGAUGAGUUCAUGUACGAUGAGAGUUUAAAUUCGUACCACGGCCAUACAUACAUGCUUGCUAGACUAUGAACUAUACAUUUACUUUUUUUACUACUUAUGAGCAUUGAGUGUGGUCAAGCUGUGUAGACCCUUAGGAGCUUGUUAUGCGGUUAAAAUCAAGAUUCACUUGCACGUUCACUCAUACAUGCUGCUUCUACUCCGGAAGUACGCAUCCACCUACAUCCACUCAUUUCCAUCUCUAGAUUCACCCAACAUUAUUCUACUCCUAUCCAGGACCGAAUAGCCAAAAAUAUUAUCCUAUCCAUGUUAUUCCCCGUGAAAUAAAUGCUCGAGAUAUUUUGGUUACUACCAGUUGCUACAUUGUUCCAGGAGGGUGAGUGCUAUAAAAAAAGAGAAGAAAAAGGAAAAAUACGAGGAAAUAAAAAGGGGCAAGUGCCCGGAACCUCGAAGAAAAGAAAAAGUGAGACGAGAGGUAAAAAUGGACAAGUUUCCGACAGUAGAAUUAGGGGUACAGGAUACCCACCUGAAAGAAAAGAAAAAGAAAAUAUAUAGCAUCUCAUUCUCCUCAUAAAGCUUCAAGGUGCAAGAAAGGUAUGUAUCCCCUCAAAAGAGCAAAAGUAGAAUUAGACUUUCACCAUUGUUUUCACCAUCGUUACCAUACACCAUUCAUUCGCCACACAUGCACAUCUUGAUAUUGACUUAUUGACUUGUUUCUCUGGAUCCAUGGUUUGACUUUGCAAUAAAUGUCUUGUAAGUAUGUAUACUUUAUCUCCCACCUAUGAGCUCCAGAUAUCAAAGCCUUAUUAGAGUAGGAUGAGAGAGAAGGCAAUGUCACUAUGCUUCAUACCACAAAUACUACAUACUUUGAGAGAAGGCAUAUACCAUCACUGCCUUGGUAAGGAUCCAAAAAUACCAGAAAAGUGAGAAUUGAGAGAGUCAUACAAGGAAUCUCUAAGUUUUAUUUUGAAAAUCUGCAAAAACUCCAGAGCUAUAGUUGAUCAAAGAACAAGAGACAUGGCGCUUGACUUGACCAUUCUAUCUUUUAACUGCUCAAGACAUAAGUGACAGUUGCAAGCCCCAUGGUGGAAGGUAAAAUGAGUAAGUUUUAAGUCUUAACAGUUUACUCUAACUCAAAGAUAAGACCUUGUUUGAGAGCAUGUGUACCGUCAACUUUCUAAGGCAUUACAGCAACUUCUGAUCCAUCACUAAGUGUAUCCUUGCUCAGGGACGAGCAAGAGGUAAGCUUGGGGGAGUUUGUUGACGGUCCUUAAGUAUCAAACUUAAUCAUCAAAUAAAUAAAGAAAAGGAUCCAAAUGCAACCAACACCCAAACUUAGGGUUUUAUCUCACAGAAUUCGAUGUGUUUUGGUGUUUCUCUAUUUCUGCAGGGGGUUAUCAGGAAAUAUGGAGGAAAGGCCCAC